GGGGAAUAUUGCGCAAUGGGCGAAAGCCUGACGCAGCGACGCCGCGUGAGGGACGACGGCCUUCGGGUUGUAAACCUCUUUCAGCAGGGAAGAAGCGAAAGUGACGGUACCUGCAGAAGAAGCACCGGCUAACUACGUGCCAGCAGCCGCGGUAAUACGUAGGGUGCAAGCGUUGUCCGGAUUUAUUGGGCGUAAAGAGCUCGUAGGCGGUCUGUCACGUCGGAUGUGAAAACCCGGGGCUUAACUCCGGGCCUGCAUUCGAUACGGGCAGACUAGAGUGUGGUAGGGGAGACUGGAACUCCUGGUGUAGCGGUGAAAUGCGCAGAUAUCAGGAAGAACACCGGUGGCGAAGGCGGGUCUCUGGGCCACUACUGACGCUGAGGAGCGAAAGCGUGGGGAGCAAAC
rnacentral:rRNA from 1 species